UACGAAGGGGGCUAGCGUUGCUCGGAAUCACUGGGCGUAAAGCGCACGUAGGCGGCUUUCUAAGUCAGGGGUGAAAUCCUGGAGCUCAACUCCAGAACUGCCUUUGAUACUGGAGAGCUUGAGUCCGGAAGAGGUGAGUGGAACUCCGAGUGUAGAGGUGAAAUUCGUAGAUAUUCGGAAGAACACCAGUGGCGAAGGCGACUACCUGGCCUGUUCUUGACGCUGAGGCGCGAAAGCUAGGGGAGCAAACGGG
rnacentral:rRNA from 1 species